rnacentral:tRNA from 1 species
GCUGGUAUAUAGCUCAGUUGGUAGAGUGUUUGCCUCGAAUGUACAAGGCCCUGGGUUCAAUCCCCAGCACCACCA